rnacentral:rRNA from 1 species
GAUGAACGCUGUCUACAGGCUUAACGCAUGCAAGUCGAGGGGAAACGACGGGGAAGCUUGCUUCCCCGGGCGUCGACCGGCGCACGGGUGAGUAACGCGUAUCCAACCUGCCUCUGACUGAGGGAUAACCCGUCGAAAGUCGGCCUAAUACCUCAUGGCAUCGUCUGCGGGCAUCCAACGACGAUUAAAGAUUUCAUCGGUCAGGGAUGGGGAUGCGUCUGAUUAGCUUGUUGGCGGGGUAACGGCCCACCAAGGCUACGAUCAGUAGGGGUUCUGAGAGGAAGGUCCCCCACAUUGGAACUGAGACACGGUCCAAACUCCUACGGGAGGCAGCAGUGAGGAAUAUUGGUCAAUGGGCGGGAGCCUGAACCAGCCAAGUAGCGUGCAGGAUGACGGCCCUAUGGGUUGUAAACUGCUUUUAUGCGGGGAUAAAGUGAGGGACGUGUCCUUCAUUGCAGGUACCGCAUGAAUAAGGACCGGCUAAUUCCGUG